rnacentral:rRNA from 1 species
UACGAAGGGGGCUAGCGUUGCUCGGAAUCACUGGGCGUAAAGGGCGCGUAGGCGGACUUUUAAGUCGGAGGUGAAAGCCCAGGGCUCAACCCUGGAAUUGCCUUCGAUACUGGGAGUCUUGAGUUCGGAAGAGGUUGGUGGAACUGCGAGUGUAGAGGUGAAAUUCGUAGAUAUUCGCAAGAACACCGGUGGCGAAAGGCGGCCAACUGGUCCGAAACUGACGCUGAGGCGCGAAAGACGUGGGGAGCAAACAGG